AUCCAGCUGAUGAGUUCCAAAUGGGACGAAACGCUCGUCCUGGAU
rnacentral:hammerhead_ribozyme from 1 species